rnacentral:lncRNA from 10 species
CAGAGGCCGAGUCGUGUGGCAAGCCUCGUGGAGAAGUCUGCAGGCUUCUUGCUCCUAAGAAGGAAGCUCAGUGUUAAAUCUGAAGCUAAACUGAAGAAACUAUGUGGUCUCUUACGACUGGUUGCCACAACAGAUGUUGCCAGGUGUCCUUGGAUAGUGACCUCCCAUAUGAAGCCACUUUCCUCUGAUCAGGCCUGACAGCUUCACACUGUGGAGGGAGCUGAGAACAAUAAUCUUUCAAGGAACAGAAAACCAGACGCCACAUGUUCUCACUUAUAAGUGGGAGCUAAACAAUGAGAACACAUGGACACAGGGGGGGGAACAACACACACUAGGGCCUGUUGGGGGUGUGGGGUCAGGGGAGGGAGAGCAUUGGGAAAACUAGCUAACACAUACUGAGAUUAAUACCUAGGUGAUGGGUUGAUUGGUGCAGCAAACCACCAUGGCACAUGUUUACCUAUGUAACAAACCUUCACAUCCUGCACAUGUACCCCAGAACCUAAAAGUAAAAUUAAAAUAAAAAAA